GGUCGAAUUGACUGCUGUAGUGAGCGUUUUUUUGUUUAAAACUGAACAUUUUGUUACAAAAACUUAAAAAAUGCAGUGUCUACACUGUAACGAUGUUGUACGCUUGAGGAUGUGUCACAACAUCAAUGUUUUGUUGUAUAAGAAAAAUUUAAUGAAUCAAAUGAUUCAUUUGCAGAAAAGAAAUUGUUAUUUGGGACCAAAAUGCUACGUUAGCCCUUUUUAGUUUAUACGAAAAUAAAAUAGAAAUGUUGGACUAUUCAAAAAAAAAGGCAAAAUAUGGGAAGCUAGAUCUAGCGCUUUGCAAGAUUUUGGUAUUCAGGUAUAAAAUGAACAUAAAAGUUUAAUAAAUUCAAUAUUUUAUAUAUAAUUAUAUAAUGUCUGUGUAUAUAAUCGCAUUUGUUUAUAAUAUUGCCUUGCUUUUCGAAAAGGAAAUUUGUGAAGGGGAUGUUAACUCGAAAGUCAAAUGAAAUAAUUCCAAAUUUGUUUUUUAUAUUAACUGUGCUUGUAAUGACGUUAAUAUUUUAUUAUAAAAAAUGACAUUAAUACUUUAUUAUAAAAAUUAUUUAUAAAAAUGUACAAAUAGUUUCUAAGUAUAUUAAUCCUACAGGAAAUACAAAAACUUUAAAGUUACAAUAUUUAAUAGCAUACAUUUAUGACAGUGUAGUUUUUAACGUUUAUAAUUAUUAUAUAAAUAACCGACAUUUCGAUAUUUCAAAAACAUGUUUAUAAUAUUCAAAAGAAUCAUAUUAUCUGGUAAUAUCUUCGAUAUUUUGUAAAAAUAUAUAAUAAAAAUGCGCAUCACAUCAAUA